CAAAUUUUUUCAGAUCGGUAUAAAGUUAAUGUCGAAAUCAAAGUUAUUUUGGUUAAUUUUUUUACCUUUGGCUUUGUCACCAUCUGCUAUGGUUGUCCAAUCAACUCAGCCUUCCACUGUUCCAUCUACAUCUGAAACAGUUGAUUUAGAUGAUGUGAUGUCUGAAAGAAUUUUUGGCAGAAAACUCUGUCAUGAAUGGUAUGAUUCUGACUCAUCAAAGUCUAUCAUUUAUGAUGGUAGACUAGAAAAAGUAAGCAAAAGACAAAAUGAUAGAAUUUACACUAUUUCUUACUGGAAACAAGAUAAAACUGAUAUUGAAGCUGUUGAGCAUAAGGUGAAAAAAAUCCAGCUAGCUGCUGAUGUUGUAUUAGAUGAGUUAAUAUUUUCUUAGUUUGAAUAUGAAAUAUUGUAAAAAUGCUUGAAAAAAAAGUUCUACAAGUUUUGUGGCUUGCAAACAAGUACUUUAAGGUUUGUGGAUUGCAAAUAGGUACAACAGGUUUUGUGGCUUGCAAACAAGAACAGCAAGUUUUGUGGCUUGCCAUUAGGUAAAACAAGUAUUGUGGCAAUUAAAAAAUCAAUCAUUUACUAAAAGCCAAGACAAUGGUUAAUUACUUUUUUUAUUUCAAAAGACUUGCUGCUUUGUGUUUUUGUUUAGGUUGGAGUUCAACAACAAACUUGCUUUACCUAAUGGCAAGCCACAAAACUUGUUGUACUUGUUUGCAAGCCACAAAACUUUCUGUAUCUAUUUGUAGUCUUGUAACAUGGUAUUGGGCGGAAGAGGGUGGCUUCCACCCCCUUUCAUGAAGGCAAUUUAUACACCACUGUAACGUGGUAAAAUAGUGUUUUAUAGUGUUUAAAAAGCAUUUUUAAACAUAUUUUGUUAAUUCUCAUUAAAACUUUUUUUUACGUAUUGGGCGGAAGGGGGGCGGCUUACACCCCCUUUCAUGAAGUCAAUUUAUACACCACUAGUUACUAUUUUUCCAAGUAUCAAAAUAAAUUUUUAUUUUUUAUACUGAAAUUAAUUGUUUUAGUAAAGAUUGAAAUAUUUAAAAGAAUGAAAUUUUGAUAUGGUGUGUUAAACCUUAUUCAAAACCCAAAACCCGACUUUGAGAUAGACUUGUAUAUUCACUAGUGAUGUGGAAUAAAAUAAUAACAAUUUUUUGUAUAUAGAUAUUUGUAAUUUUAAAAGAAAAACACUUUUUUAUGAAAAAAAGUGUGUUUUUGUGAGGUGUAGGUGGUGGUUUAGCCCUCCUCCGGAUCCCUGGAUGCGCCCUUGACCUAAAAUUGAAUUGAAAAUUAUAGCCCUUUUUUACACCUAUCUUUUGAUACCAAAUAUGCCCUAAUAUACAUUCCUACCAUCUAUGGUCAUCACAAACGCUUUCAUUGCGAAAAUAAUAGCAACUGCCUCGUUCGACUUUUUCAACAAUCGGGUUACAAAUACUUGGAAUGCUCUGAUGGAUGAUGUUGUCAACGCCUUUACUAUUGACAGUUUCAAAAAAAAAUUAGACCAGCAACUCACAUAGUUACCACAGUGCAUCAUUUUCCGUGGCUGUAUUAUCACAGCUAUACGAGCUAGCUUGCUAGCUAAUGAUGAACUUACGGUUCAUAU